rnacentral:lncRNA from 13 species
GAAAUAAUUCAAAGGUGACAAAAAUUAAAUAUUUUGUCUGUUCGUUUGUAAGUCCGUCAAAUCUGACUUUUUAAAGAAGUACCAUCACUUUGACACCAAUUGUAUUUACACAGGGUCAUAAGCACUUAAAGAUGGUCCUUGCGAUAAUUCUUUCCCUGAUUCUAAUUCAGAAAGAUCUUCUGCCUCUCUCAAAUGCAGAUGACACGCAUCAUCUGGAAAAGUAUCAGGUGCAGACGCACUGCAUCCCAGCUGUGUCCGACGCCAUAUCCUUGUUACAAGGCAGUUUCCCUGAGGAAACAGACUCUUUCUCUAAAAUCCACAUGUUUAUUUGAGGAAGACAGAAGGGACGGGAAGCCAACACCUCUCUUCCUUGUUCUGAUAACACACUUAGGAGGCAGCAUGCAGACAGCAAGGAGCCCCCGCUUUCUUUACAGAAGAGGGCAUGGAAUGGCCACUCCCUGCAUGGAAGGACGCUCAGUGUUGUUAGUCAAAGGGAGGCACAUGAGGCACCACCCCCCAGAGAAGGACAGAUGUGUGGAGCAAGUGGCGUGCUCCCACCCGACCGCACGUGCAACUGCUCUGGAAAACAGUUUGGAGUUUCUUAUAAAAUCAAGCAAACAACUACCACUCAACCCAGCAAUACCCACCCUAAGGUAUUUACACAGAGAGAUGAAAACAUAUGUGCACACACAGGCUUGUGCAGGAAUAUUAAUAGCAGAUUUCUAUAUAAUAGCCUCAAUCUGGAAACACGCAUCGAGGAGCAGGAGACACCAACUAGGGUGUAUUUUACAACGACUCAUCUAUGGAGCGAAGAAACAGCCACAACAUGCGCGUAGCAAUGAAGGCAAACACUCUGCUCCACAAACAUUCCUGGGCGAAGAGACAGGAACACAGGCACGCGGGUGCACAGGAUGCGUCCAUACGGCUGGAUCCACGGCAGGCGAGUCCAGGCGGUGGGGACGGGAAGAAAGCAGUGAUCGCCCAGGCCCGGGGUGAAGGUGAGAGGGCAGGGCAUUGACUGCAAAGAGAAGAGAGCCAUGUUCUGGAGAAAACACUCGUCAAAACUCAUCAAGUUGGCACUGCUAAGAGUGUGCUUCACUGCACUAAAGCUAUGCUGCGAUAAGGGGAUUUGGAAGCAGG